rnacentral:rRNA from 1 species
CCCACCACUGCCACCGCGCGCAACGGCGGUCUGGAUCGCGACCUCAGGUCAGGCGGGGCCACCCGCUGAGUUUAAGCAUAUCAAUAAGCGGAGGAGAAGAAACUUACGAGGAUUCCCCUAGUAACGGCGAGCGAAACGGGAAGAGCCCAGCUUGAGAAUCGGGCAGCCCCGCUGUUCGAAUUGUAGUCUGUAGAAGCGUCGUCAGUGGCGGACCGGGCCCAAGUCCCCUGGAACGGGGCGCCGGAGAGGGUGAGAGCCCCGUCGUGCCCGGACCCUGCCGCACCACGA